CCUUACCUUUCAGUGAUUUCAUUGUUUUAAUGUUUGAGAAAGUUACUUGUCCUUCCUUUCUGCUGUAGGUCAGUGGGUUACCCACCCCAGAUCUGAGCUGGCAACUAGAUGGAAAGCCCAUCCGCCCCGACAGCGCUCACAAGAGCUCGUGCUCGUGUGAGAAUGGGGUGCACUCUCUGAUCAUUGAGCCAGUCACGUCUCGAGAUGCCGGCAUCUACACGUGUAUAGCCACCAAUCGAGCAGGACAGAACUCUUUCAGCCUAGAGCUGGUGGUUGCUGCUAAAGAAGCACACAAACCCCCCGUGUUUAUCGAGAAGCUGCAGAACACAGGAGUUGCUGAUGGGUACCCGGUGCGCCUGGAGUGCCGGGUUGCAGGGGUGCCACCGCCGCAGAUAUUUUGGAAGAAAGAAAAUGAGUCACUCACUCACAGCACUGACCGAGUGAGCAUGCACCAGGAUAAUCAUGGUUACAUUUGCCUGCUCAUUCAGGGAGCCACAAAAGAAGAUGCUGGCUGGUACACUGUGUCUGCCAAGAACGAAGCAGGGAUUGUGUCCUGUACUGCCAGGCUGGAUGUAUACAUUUCUCAACAUUAAUAGUGAAAUCCCACCAGGAGAACAAAUACCCAAGUAUCACUCAGGAAGUGGAAUUAUUAGCAAGCUAUGCAUGUUGAUUUCUCUUACACUGGCUAGUCAGUUGUGGCUUCUUUAUUCAAGCAUCCUUAGGAGUUAACAGUAGACAAAGGCAUCGAUGUUUUUCACGUUGUCUUAUUACUGUGUUCUGCAAAUGACUGUUUUUAACAUUUCUUCCUGUAUUAUAAUCUUAUCACACUAUCCUAAUGCACUCUAGAUGUGUGUGCCAUUGAUGCUGGAAUGCGUACUGUUGCAGCUUAGUGCUUUUCUCAUUAAUAGAUUUUAGCAGCUCAGCAACAGAUUUGUGAGUGUUUGUGUAUCCAUAUUUGUAUACAUUUGUCCUGAAUUUUAAAAAAACCUGUC
rnacentral:lncRNA from 1 species